GCUGAAACUUGCUGUACUUCCCUGUGCACUUACACCAAGCACAGGAAACUGGGAAUGGAGAAGAGAAAAUUUCAAAUUUCAACAGAAAGAAACUACAAGCACAGUGAAAUUAAUGAUGCUUGCAAUAAUAAAGAGAAGACAUACAUUAUUCUAAUAAACUACAACUUGUAGUUUAUAAAAAAAUAAAUAAAUAAGGCACUAUAAACGUAAUGCCAUCUGUAUUCAGCUCAGAAAAGAAUGUACAGUUCUACCGACCUGCUGUGGUAAAGACCAAAUGGAGUAGUCAUCAGAAUGGAACAGAAACCUACAGUAUAGCUUGUUGUAGCCAAAUACUGUUACAAUAUUUAAAUGAAUCAAUAAAGAUAUUUCUACAGCACAGAAUACAAUCACAUCAAGAAGAUCCCUUGAAGAAAAAUCCCCACCAUGUCAAGAGCACUGAAACAUGAAAUCUGUCAACAAAGCCCAUAAAUACAAACCCAUAGCAGUUUACUACAUUGACUUUCAAUACUGUUCAAUAGUUACCAUCUUGUGCUUUGCACUGUGUAUCCAACUUGAAGCCUUUAUAAUACAACUGUAGUAAUACAUGUUUGUAACAAAAAAAGCUGUAGGCCUUUCUUUAGUGCCUUUCACAGUACAAUGCGAGCAUUGAGUCCAAAUUG